UGGGGAAUAUUGCACAAUGGGCGCAAGCCUGAUGCAGCCAUGCCGCGUGUGUGAAGAAGGCCUUCGGGUUGUAAAGCACUUUCAGCGGGGAGGAAGGCGGUGAGGUUAAUAACCUCAUCGAUUGACGUUACCCGCAGAAGAAGCACCGGCUAACUCCGUGCCAGCAGCCGCGGUAAUACGGAGGGUGCAAGCGUUAAUCGGAAUUACUGGGCGUAAAGCGCACGCAGGCGGUCUGUCAAGUCGGAUGUGAAAUCCCCGGGCUCAACCUGGGAACUGCAUUCGAAACUGGCAGGCUAGAGUCUUGUAGAGGGGGGUAGAAUUCCAGGUGUAGCGGUGAAAUGCGUAGAGAUCUGGAGGAAUACCGGUGGCGAAGGCGGCCCCCUGGACAAAGACUGACGCUCAGGGGCGAAAGCGUGGGGAGCAAACAG
rnacentral:rRNA from 1 species